rnacentral:rRNA from 1 species
UACGGAGGGUGCAAGCGUUAUCCGGAUUCACUGGGUUUAAAGGGUGCGUAGGAGGGCAGGUAAGUCAAUGGUGAAAUCCCCGAGCUUAACUUGGGAACUGCCGUUGAUACUAUCUGUCUUGAAUAUUGUGGAGGUGAGCGGAAUAUGUCAUGUAGCGGUGAAAUGCUUAGAUAUGACAUAGAACACCAAUUGCGAAGGCAGCUCGCUACACAUAUAUUGACUCUGAGGCACGAAAGCGUGGGGAUCAAACAGG